CACUCAAAUUUAGCAUCUAUCGUGAUAUAUCCAUCCAUUCUUGCUAUGAGUUGUGAUAUAUUUGAAUGAAAAUCAUAUAAAAGAUCAUUUACGUGUCACUUGUUUCUUUUGCAGAAAAGUGCGCAAGGCACUAUAAUCGUCCAGAUUUCUACUAUGUGGCUAACGAGAAGAGAGAAGGGCUUGUGUGUGACGACAAGAAGUAACCAAAGGGGAUAACUAUAGAAGAGAGGGGAUCUACUUGGGAAGGAAGAAGAUAGUAGGAGGGCCCAUGUGCAAACAUCAAAAUCUGCAGGGAGGGGAUCAAAAUCCCUAGAUCGGCUCCAGUCCCCAUCGGGCCUGGCAUAUCUCUCUCUCCCUCACCCAUCCUUCUCCAACUCCGCCCGCCGCCACGGCCAGGCCGGCGUGGUGGUGCGCCUUCGCCUCCCAUCCAUCCACCAGCGCCACCAUCUUCUUCUCCUUCCCCGCAUCCACCAUCAUCCAUCCACACCGCCGUCACCAGCGCCACCAUCUCCAGCCACCAGCACCACAGCGCCCCGCGCGACUCUCCCUGCUGCUUCUUCUCCCAUGCCUCUCCUGUUGCUCUUCUCCUUCCCUCGCUGCUCCUCUUCUCCACGCCCCUGCAGCCUUCCUUCUUCUCCUCAACCUCCUCGCUGCUGCUCCUCCUUCUCUCCAAAACUGCUGUUGCUUCCUCUCUGAAUCCCUACUGCUGCUGCCUUUCUUCUCCCCUUGCUACUUCUCCUCCUUCCAGCGCCCCCUUUGCUGCUCCUCUUUCCUUCGCUUGCUCUGCUUCUUCCCCUGCCCUGCUAAAGUUCUCUCCUCACGCCCUCUGUUGCUGCUCCUUAUCAACCCCCCUGCUGCCUCUGUUUCUUCUUGAACCUGAAAUCUCUCUCUCUCUCUGAAUUUUCUGUAAGCUGAGAUGUAAAACUUUGUAAUGUUCAGAUUCUAAGAGCACUUGCAAUCUGAUAUAUGUUUAGUAGGUACUUGUCAUUUUCUGUUAAUUAAUAUUCUGCUAGUGUAUGUGUGUGAUCUCCUUUGUGUUCAUUUGUUGACUUGUGCUUGUUUAGUUCGAAUCAUUUUGUUGAUCUGUGAGCACUUCUUGUAACCCCCUGGUCGUAUACAUGUGUGGUUAUGUGUAUAUUGUAGUCCCUGUGUUAACUAUGUGCAUGUGAAACUAUAUAUGUAUGUGGUGUGAAACUUAUAUUUCCCAGUACCAUACUACUUGUGCAUGUUCAGCACUAUGAUACAUCUUUUAUUUCUAGUUCAUAUAUUCCUCCUAUGUACUUGUGAUAUGUACGUGCUUUUGAUGUGAAUCACUUCUGUCCUUGUCCCAUUAUCUUUGUUUUGUGUUUUUCUUCUUUUAUAUAACUACUAGUUAUAUUUGUGAUCAUAUAUUAGUACUUUCUUUCUGUCGAUGUUGAUGUUCUGUGUGUUUAUUUUAGUUUCUCAAGUAAUAUGAAAAUACCAAAAAGACAGAGAGUAUAAUCUGAACCUUCCUUUGCUUCUUUUCAUUUUCUUUUGUCGAUGAUUUUUCCCGAAUGAUCUUAGUUAGUCUAGAUUUAGUAUUCUGCUUUCAUCACCCAAUAUUGUGUUACCUAGAUUUAGCCGAGCGUUGUUGCCGUCGCCUAGUCCCUGUGGAGAACACGACAUCCGUAGUUUGGGCAUAAAAACCCUACUAUAUUACAAACGAUCAUUUUGGCGCCGUCGCUGGGGACUAGUGUCGAGUGACCGUGUUAGGCUAUAGACUAGUUUCUUCUUCUUUUUCUAUUUUGUGCCAUAUAUUUGUGAUAUAUCUCUAACUCCUAACCCUUGUUCUAGAUUAUUUCCUCUUUGUUUUCUUUUCCUUUUUGCAGGUUAGAACCAUCUUCUCGGAUAUGGCUUACUAUUCAGAUCAUCAUGCUUAUGCGAGCAACUCUACAAACAGCACGGAAAGUGUUCAAGAACUGAUAGUAAUCAUAUGCAGGGAUUUAGGUAUGAAGAGGAGAGCCACAACUAUGCUCCACAACAGUCUUAUUCAGCUCCUAUUCAUAUACCUCUGCACCAGGAGAUGUUGCCAAUGGAGUUAAAUGGUCCUCCAUUUGGUCAACCAACAACUCCAGCACCUGUUGUGCAAUCUCAAGUGCCCACUCAAGAUGAGUUCGAUCACAUAGACGAGCUCACACUUUUGAGUCUCGAGUUCACUUGGAGUGCCGAGGAUGAUCCUAUUAGGAAGGUGAUACUUGAGGAAAUGAAGAAGAUUAAGAGUGGAAAGGAGCUAGUGGAAGAAGUAAGGAAGAUUGAGAAGAACAUCAACGCUGGCAGUACUAUCUCUUCCCUCCUUGAGUUGAGUGUGGCCGAGAUUCCCCUUGAUACAUGUGAGGUUCCAACACCGUCACAUCCAGUUGAGCAAGAUAGCAAGAGUCCUGAGGAAGAAAGACCUCAGAUUGAAGAAGAUGAACUAGAAGACAAGGAACAAGAUGGUGAAGAGCUGCAAUUCCCAAGUGAUCAAGUUGAAGACUCAUCAUCUAUUACUCCUGAAGAAGUACAAGAAGCUGAUGUAGAUGAAGAUGAAGAACAUGAGAUUCAUUUGCCUAUUGUCAUACCAGAGCGUCAUGUGUCAGGUUUACCCAAUCCUCUCAAUGACAUGCGUCCUUAUGAUUCCUUUGCUUCUACCUUGCAUUGCAUGAUGCCAUCUGUUAAAGUAGAUUAGAAAAAGUAUUUGCUUGGAUAUGAUCAUAUAUACCCUGUUAGUGGCAUUACUCACAUUAAUGAUGAUCACAGUUACUUUCCUCGUGCUAGACCUAUGGUUAAUGAAACAUAUCAUUCUUAUGCUAGUCUUGAGCUUAAUGAAAAAUAUCAUCCUCAUGUUAGUGUUGACUUUGCUAAUUUCUAUCAUCCUAAACAUGUGCUUUAUAGCUAUGCUUAUGUAAUUGAAUAUUCGAUUGAUGACUUGGAGGGUAUUAUCCCUACCACUUGCAUUGUCUCUUUCGUUGAGUGCUCUUUCAGGUUUUUGCUUGUGCACGAUCCAUUGCAUGCUGACCAGGUUCGAGGUGACAUUCCUUGGGACCCUGGUGGACUCUGAGCAUGGGGAUGAGGAGAAGCAAGGGGCACAUACGAAGAAGAGUGAAGCUGGAGCAUGCAUGAGGAUAGGAAAGCAAUAGGAGAGGAGUCACAAUGCACGAGGAAGCAAAGGAGAGGAGCUGCAGUUGGUGAGGUGAUCGAGCGAGUGCUACUUCCUAUGAAAACCCGGUGAGCUGUUUCAUGACCCAUUCCUAGUAUAUCAUCCAUUGAUACAUGCUGAAAUCAAAUGUUAUUUGGGUUGCUUAAGCCAUGUCUUAAAUGUUGCCCCACUGAAUUUUACUUGACAUAUGGUGCUUGAUGAGAAUAUGUGAACUGAGUGUUGAAUGCCUGGUAAACUAGUGAUCUUUACAAUGCUUGCUUUGCUGAAAUUAGUGAAAGCUAUUAGUUUUGAGUGCUCAAAUCCCUAGUACACUAGAAAACUUAAUUAUUUUCUGCUUUUACCUUGAUACGCCUAGAUCACCAUGUUUAGAUGCUGAAUUUGUGCUAAGUGUGUUCCCAUUGAGAGCAAUCACCUAACCAUUAUGGAUUAGCAUGCUAUGUUCCCUGGAUCGGUAGCAUGUGAACCAGACAUGGAGAAGUGAUGAUUCCUGUUUUUGUGCUUAUGCGUUGUUCAUUUAAGAUAAGUAAUAAUGAAUAAAUAAGUCUGACUACCUAUAGUAGCAUGUCAUGUUCCCGGGAUCGGUGGCAUGUGAAAUCGGGUUAGCUUGGGCAGUAAUUAAUAAAAAAAUGUAAUUGUUGAACCAGGUGUAUACCAUGUUCUCGGGAUCGGUGGUAUGUUCCUUUGGGGAGACAAACAAAAAAAACUAAUAAUUGGUCGAGCCAGGUGUAUACCAUGUUCUCGGGAUCGGUGGUAUGUUCCUAUGGUGAGACUAAUAAUAAUAUAAUCAUUGCUUUAUCUCUGUAAAUAAGUGAUUUGAUCACAAGAUUUAAUUCCAGUUCAUUUUGUUCUUGGGAUCAUGCUCUCUUUAGGAACCAUUUGGCGCAGUCAUCAUAUAAACUUGUUGAUCUUCUCUUAUCUCUGUAAAAGUUUAAAAUGGUCAUGCUUACUAGUCUCCUACUGCUUUGUAGCACUCUAACCAUUAAUUUUCACUAGAUAAGUGUGAAGCAUGCCUUGUUUGGAGAUCUAUUUUACCAGGACAUUCCUUACUCAGUUUACUGUUCAUUAUCUUGCCUUUGUCAUAUUCCUUUGCUUGAGAACAAGCAAAGAUUUAAGUGUGGGGCAACUUGAUAAGUGCAUUUCAUAUAUAUAAUUUGGCACUCAAAUUUAGCAUCUAUCGUGAUAUAUCCAUCCAUUCUUGCUAUGAGUUGUGAUAUAUUUGAAUGAAAAUCAUAUAAAAGAUCAUUUACGUGUCAUUUGUUUCUUUUGCAGAAAAGUGCGCAAGGCACUAUAAUCGUCAAGAUUUCUACUAUGUGGCUAACGAGAAGAGAGAAGGGCUUGUGUGUGACGACAAGAAGUAACCAAAGGGGAUAACUAUAGAAGAGAGGGGAUCUACUUGGGAAGGAAGAAGAUAGUAGGAGGGCCCAUGUGCAAACAUCAAAAUCUGCAUGGAGGGGAUCAAAAUCCCUAGAUCGGCUCCAUUCCCCAUCGGGCCUGGCAUAUCUCUCUCUCCCUCACCCAUCCUUCUCCAACUCUGGCCGCCGCCACGGCCAGGCCGGCGUGGUGGUGCGCCUACGCCUCCCAUCCAUCCACCUGCGCCACCAUCUUCUUCUCCUUCCCCGCAUCCACCAUCAUCCAUCCACACCGCCGUCACCAGCGCCACCAUCUCCAGCCACCAGCACCGCAGCGCCCCGCGCAACUCUCCCUGCUGCUUCUUCUCCCACGCCUCUCCUGCUGCUCUUCUCCUUCCCUCGCUGCUCCUCUUCUCCAUGCCCCUACAACCUUCCUUCUUCUCCUCAACCUCCUCGCUGCUGCUCCUCCUUCUCUCCAAAACUGCUGCUGCUUCCUCUCUGAAUCCCUACUGCUGCUGCCUUUCUUCUCCCCUUGCUACUGCUACUCCUUCCAGCGCCCCCUUUGCUGCUCCUCUUUCCUUCGCUUGCUUUGCUUCUUCCCCUGCCUUGCUAAAGUUCUCUCCUCAUGCCCUCUGCUGCUGCUCCUUCUCAACCCCCCUGCUGCCUCUGUUUCUUCUUGAACCUGAAAUCUCUCCCUCUCUCUCUGAAUUUUCUGUAAGCUGAGAUGUAAAACUUUGUAAUGUUCAGAUUCUAAGAGCACUUGCAAUAUGAUAUAUGUUUAGUAGGUACUUGUCAUUUUCUAUUAAUUAAUAUUCUGCUAGUGUAUGUGUGUGAUCUCCUUUGUGUUCAUUUCUUGACUUGUGCUUGUUUAGUUCGAAUCAUUUUGUUGAUCUGUGAGCACUUCUUGUAACCCCCUGGUCGUAUACAUGUGUGGUUAUGUGUAUAUUGUAGUCCCUGUGUUAACUAUGUGCAUGUGAAACUAUAUAUGUAUGUGGUGUGAAACUUA